CCCCCACCCCUUCCCAGAGACCCCCAGCAGCCAAUCCCCUCCCUCAGACUGUGCUGCAGGCAUUCGGCUCUCUCUAGGACCCAGCGCAGCUUUUACAUGCUCCACUGCUUGCCAUCUGUCUGGCAGAGUGUGUGGUGCCCCUGGAAGAGCGGUGCCCUACGCGACUGCCUAUUCUGUCUAUGGCUAAGGACGGCCCUGCUUAGACACAAAAGGAUUGGCUGGCAGCGUGGGUAUUUGGGCUCAUUAGACAGACAACAUAUCUGGAUUCUUCUAUGGGCCCCUCAUCACCACAGCAUUGGAGCAACUGGAUAUACUCCAUACCCAUCCAAAAUUAUGAACAAACAGGAAAAUGAAGAUGAAGACGACGGAGUUAGCUGUAGAAGCCAAUAUUUUAAGUUUCUCAUGUUAACCUGGCUGACAUAGUCGGUUUAAUUAUUGUUUUUUAAAUAUUUCAUU